rnacentral:lncRNA from 1 species
GCUCGGCAGGGCGGCGGCGACGGCGGUGGCUGCGGAGCUGCAGUUAGCGCUGCGCGCGUGAGGUGGCGGGGCGGCAGCCGCGCAUCCCGGCCCUGUGGCGUGUUGGGCGUGGGGGAGCGUCCUUACACGUUCCAGGGUGGCUUUUCCCCCACGUCCUCGCUCGGUUUCUGGAAAGGGGGAGGAAACGCUGCAGCUUCUACAGUACUUUUGCUUAAGACAAAGCCAGGGAUCAGGAAUCUCAAAAGAGCGGGGGGCAGAAGGUUUGAGCCGACCCCACCCCGGCUCUCCAUCGGAGCCCCGAGCGGCGCCGUUUCCUGAUGCUGGCUGUGCGUAGAGGCGGCCUUCCUGGGGGGAGGGGAGAACAAUGCUUCCUGAAAAGCCAAAAGUCGUGGAAUUUGGGGGCGGGGCUCGGGCCAAUUAAAGUGUAUUCGUGGAAAACAGCGAACUGCACACUGCAGCGCGAAAGCAGGAAACUGGCAUUACGUCAGAAGACAGAAGAGACCCAAAUUGCAACGGUUGCAUCUGCAGGGCUGGCUGGCUGGCUUCCUCUCCUAAACCUAAACCUUUCCCUCUCCCCACCCCCUUUUGUGUGUGUGUGUGUGUGUGUGUGUGUGUGUGUGUGUGUGUGUGUGUGUGUUUCCAGGGAGCAGCUUCGCUGGGCCGCAGGCUCUGGCACUGGGUGCUUUGUCAGCGAGGCAUCGCAGGAUUUUAGGCAAAGGCCAAAGGGGCGAGCACUGGCGUGACUCGGGAACUCUUGGCCUCAGUGCCCUGGGCCCCCGUCCCGUGUCACUCUACGCUCUCCUCGGCAAGCUAGUUAGGAGCCACAACUCAUUCCUUUUAAAGAUAGCGCCGAGCUUGGAUAGCUUUCCAAAAUUCCUGGAGGGCGUAGGGAACCGCGCUGAAUGCUCGGCUGGUGUCCUUAGUUUAGCGCGAGCUCACGUCCACCCCAGGAAUACAAGUGGUGAGUGGUUAGAGAUCCUAGCAGCAUGCAGGACUGGACGAUUUCUUAACACGUUGUGAAGGGUCUCAUUUCUCGGUAUUUAAGGAUGUGAUCACAAGAUUGUUCCCUAUCAGGGACCCUUCUCUUGAGGUUUUGUCGCUGCUGUUAAAAAUCCCUUAGGGACAAACGUGAAACAGAAUGUUGUGAUUUAGUACCAAUGACCUCUUGGAACACGUUCAAGAGUUUGACACUAGCUUCACCUGCUCCGUCGUUCCCUCACUCCUACAUUCAGGGUCAUUAGAAGGUAACCUUAGUAACCAGUUCUAGGGUCCUGCCCCACUCCACCCCUAGGCAAAGCUUAACACACACGAAGGUGACGAUAAUAGCUAAUGAUUAUGGACUGUUACGCUCUAGGCAGCAUGCUGCCUGCUUUGUCAGUCAUUAUCACAUUUAAUUCUCAUAGUAGCUGGUUGAAGCCAGUACUGUUACCCCACUUUACAGAUAAGCAAACAGACUCUGAGGAUCCGUGUGUCCACCAGCUGAGAGAAGGUGAGCCCAGGCAGUCUGACUCCAAAGCCUCUUAACUUCUCGCAUUAUCACAGUGGGGAGAGGUCUGGGUGGGGACCUUCCAGGCUCACCUCAUACCAGGAAGGCAAAGACUUUCAUUCAAUCCUGCUAUCCUGUCAACUUCGAUAAACCUAGUCCCGGUUAAACACGGAAGGUGUCAGGUGACAUGUUUUUUUGUGUGUCCUCAUGUAAGAGAUACUUUUUAGGAAAACCCAAGAUACUUAAGCUCAUUUUCUCAUUGCCUCGUGUUUGCAACAGUAUCCUAUAAUAAAGUCGCUUAAUGAUUAAUCUUUGUAUAAGCACUUUACUCCUAGUUCAGGCCAUUGGGUAAUGGCAGAUUCUUUUCUCCUCAUUAAACCUACAGGGAAACUAAAGAACUGAGUGAUUUGGCCGGGUGUGGUGGCUCACGCCUGUAAUCCCAGAGCUUUGGGAGGCCAACGCGGGUGGAUCAUCUUAGCCCAGGAAUUCCAGACCAGCGCGGGAAACCUAACAAAACUACGUCUCUAUAAAAAAUACAAAAAUGAGCCAGGUGUGGUGGUGCGUGCCUGUAGUCCCAGCUCCUUGGGGGGCUUAGGAGGGAGAAUCACUUCAGCCCUGGAGGUUGAGGCUACAGUAAGCCAAGAUGGCACCCCUGCACUCCAGUCGGGACAACAAAGUGAGACCUUGUCUCAAACUAAAUAAAUGAAAAUAAGAACUGAGUGAUUUAUCAUGUAAAUUAGGAGUGAGGUUAUGUUCAGAAUUAGCUGAUAACCUAAAUCAAGGCCAGAUAAAUCUCUUUGCUUUCCCCUUUGGUUGCCUUAUCCUCUGAUCAUUAGCAUCUAGACAAGAAAGAGCCAGGGAAGGGAAACUGCCAGUGGUUUGGAAGUAUUGCCUGUGAGUAAUGUCCGGGAAGGGAAAUUCAAAUGAGGAAACGUUUAAGGGGAGGGGGCUGUACCUGUUUGUGCAACGACAAUUGUCUAUAAUAAAAAUGAUUGAUUUGGAAGCUAAGUACCUGAUACUAGCUCUGCCCCAUCCCAGCUGGAUGGCCUUAGAUAAGCUAUGGAGUCUGAGACCCAGUUCCUCCUCUGUAAGGUGGAAGUUAACCUGCCACCCAUCUGCUGUUAGCCUUACUCCUGACAUUUUCCUCUGCUGCCUUGUGGCCCAGGCUGGAGUGCAGCGGUGCAAUCAUGGCUUACUGCAGCCUUGAUCUCCCAAGCUCAGGCAAUCCUCCCAACUCAGCCUCCCAAAUAGCUGAUGCUACAGAUGCACACCCCUAUGCCUGGAUAAUUUUUGUAUUUUUUGUGAAAAUGGGGACUUGCUAUGUUGCCCAAGCUGGUCACUCAAGUGAUCCUCCUUUCUCAGCCUCCCAAAGUGCUGGGAUUACAGGAGUGAGCCACUGUGCCUGGCCUCCUCUAGUCCCUUAAAUGCUAGUGUUUCUCAGUGUUCCCCCCUAAAUCCAGUCUCUUAUCACUCAACACACUCUCCUUGAGUGAUUUUGCCCGUUCAUGCCCCUGUAACCACUUGCAGCUUCUCUUUCUUGCUCACGCCUCUUUCCUGAGCUCUAGACCUCUGUAUCUGACUGUAUAUAGAACAUUCCCUCUUGGAUACCUCAAACUUAAAUGUUUCAAGCUGAAAUGCUCAUUAUCUGUCUCCCAGCUAUCUCUGAUAAGAAUCUACCCCACCUAUUUAUGUCCCCACCCAGCUGUUCAAGUAAAAGCCUGGCUAUCACUCCUCUUUGCCUUACCCAGCCCAUGAAAUUAACGGCCAACUGCUAAACACGGGUUGGGCCGUCAGCUGCCUUCUGUCUACUAAAAUCCCAGCAGCUGUAUCUCCUCUAUCUUUCCCCUUCAGUGGCUCUCAUUGCCCUCAGAAUGAAGCUUGGCAUGGGUUACAAAGCUCCUCAAAAUUGGGCCAUACCUGAGUCUCCCACUGCUCAUCUUGCUUGCAUGCCACGCUUCAGCCUCUCUUAAUGCUUUCAGUUCUCUAAAGAUGCCAAAUCCUGCUGUUGUUUCUCUGAGCUUUAGCAUAGGCUAGUCCUACAAUGAAUGCUGUCAUCCCAUCUCAUCCCGUCCUCAUGCCCCUUCUUCUCUGACUAAACAGCUGCAACUACUCUUUCAUUUCUUACUCUAUGUCACUUCCUCCAGAAAGCUGUCCCUGACCCCACCCAGCUCCACUGGAGGUGCUCCUACAGCUUGGUCAAAACACUUCCCGUCACAGCACCUGUGCACUGUGUUCUAAGCGUCUUUUAACUUUUCUGAAUCUGUGUCCUUAUUCCUAUGGAAGGGGGAUACAGCAGAGUCAUUGGGGAUACUUUGUCAAUCUGCACCCAAAACCUCAUCCACUCCUCCCCAUUCCCAGUCUGCCAUGAGUGUGUACUGAGCACAGGGUGCCCCUGGUUCUCAUCCUGUGCUGCACCCCUCCAGUGUGUCACGGUGGGAGAAAGGCUGAGAGCCACUGCCCUAGACUGGCAGCUCCACAGGAAAGACAUUGCAGCUGUCCUGUCACCACCAUUUCCCCCAUGCCUGGCACAGGGCAAGGUGUAUGGUUGUAGGCACUCAGGAAGAACCUGUUUGAUUGAUUGGGGUUGAGAGAAUUAGAAAAAAAUGUGCACAUUGAGUUCUCAGGACGUAAAAGACAUUGGGUAAAUCUGGAUUGUCUUUCCCACCACUUGCUAAAAUGGAGCUUAGGAGUUACCAUUUGAUGCUUUGUGCCUGUCAUCCUUGUCACCCUUCAUCCUCCAAGUGAAAGGGAAAGAUGUUUAGAGUGGGUUCCUAGACAUGCCGCAUCAUUAUCGCUUAUUGUUUUAAGACAUCUUAUGAAACCUAGGCCUAAGUUUUUAUUGCCACUCUGUUGUUAGUAAGCAAACUGCCUCCAUUUAUUUUCUCUGUUGAUCUGCUUAUUGGUUGUGUUUUGUUUGUUUUUGUUUUUUGUUGUUUUUUGUUUUUGAGACAGGGUCUCACUCUGUCACCCAGGCUGGAGUGCAGUGCUGCUAUCUUGGCUCACUGCAACCUCCGCCUCCCGGACUCAGGUGAUCCUCCCACCUCAGCCUCCCGAAUAGCUGGGACCGUAGGCAUACACCACCAUGCCCUGCUGAUUUUUUGGCGGGGCUCUUUUGUAGAGACAGGAUUUCGCCACAUUGCCCAGGCUGGUCACAAACACCUGGACUCAAGUGAUCCAUCUGCCUCAGCCUCCCAAAGUGCUGGGAUUACAGCUGUGAGCCACUGCACCCAGCCUGGUUGUUUUUUAAGGAGGAACAUGGCUCCCAAAAUUCUUUUUUGAGGGAAGCUACCUUCAGAAAAGAAACUUUAUUCAUAAUGUCUUUGAAGAAGUAGGACUGAAACUCGGGAGAGUCAAGGCUGGGGAUAUAAAGGUGUAUAUUGGGACCUAAUGAGACCCAUGGCACUUCUGAGUCUUGGCAGGGCUCCACUGGUAAGUGGGUGACUGCAAGGCAGGCAUUCGUGGCCUAGGAUAGUCCUGCCCAAAAGAAAACAAGAUACAGCCAGAUUUGGAGUCAGGGCUAGAUUUGAGUUUAGCAGUGUGGCCUCGACCAAUAGCACAGCCUCUCUGGGUCCUUCCUUGGCUUCAUUCUUGGUAAACUGGAAUUUGUUUUGUCCUACCUACCUACAAUAUACCCCAUGGAUUAUCACAAUAAAAACAGUUUGUAAGAUAUAAAGUAGUGUAUAAAUAUUGAGUAUUAUUAAUAUGCAAUGUAACUGUAAAGUGGUCAGUUAUGUACUGAAAGUCAACACACAUUUAUUGAGCAUCAUAUGGUUAGGUGAUAGGACACAAAAGAUGAAUGAAGAUGAAAAGAAAUGUAUAUUUAUUGAUCCUGCCGACUUGUGUUCCAAGUGCUUUACAGUCUUUAUCUCUUUUAAUGUUGCCCAGACUGCCUUCAAGAGGCUGAUGCUCAGAAGGAUGACACAGGUACCUAUUAAAAUUCAUAUAAAGCCAACUAUGAUAAAUGCCAAAAUUGUCAAGGCUUAACGAGUCCUUAAUAAGUCCUGAUUAUUUUACCUCGGAAAUUUCUCUGAUUUGACCCUUCUCUCUUACCCUGUAGCCACUGCCCUAAUCUUCUGUGUUUUUAAGCUUUCUUCGACCAUGAGGCAUGGUAAUAAACCCUACAUUGCACUUUAUGGUUUCAACCCUGUCGUACUUUGUGUCCAACAUGAUGGUACCUAUGUUGAAUGAGGGAGCAAUUAAUCUGCGAGACUCUCAGAGGUGAGGGUGAAGGUGGAGAAGGUAUAAAGAAAUAAUGCCAUUGAUACUUGGCUAUGGAAGAAUAAAGUAGGAUUAACAGACCUAUCCGGAGGGGAAGGGCAUGUCAAGUGGAGGGAACAGCAGUGGUGAAAAGAUGGAGAUAGGAGAGUUAGCAAGUGGGGGGAAAGUUCAUGGAAGUGAGGUGUAGUGGAGAGUGAGGGCACUGGGUAGAGAUAAGGGUGAAAUAUUACAGUGGGGCUGGUUGUGGAGGACCCUAGAUAUCAUGCUAUGAAAUAUGGAUUUUGGCCAGGCGUGAUGGCUCACACAUGUAAUCCCAGCACUUUGGGAGGCCGAGGCGGGUGGAUCACUUGAGGUCAAGAGUUGAAGACCAGCCUAGCCAACAUGGCGAAACCCCAUCUCUACUAAAAAUACAAAAAAUUAGUCGGGUAUGGUGGCACAUGCCUGUAGUCCCAGCUACUUAGGAGGCUGUGGCAGGAGAAUCACUUGAACCUGGGACGUGGAGUUUGCAGUGAGCCGAGAUUGCACUACUGAACUCCAGCCUGGGCAACAGAGUGAGACUCUGUCUCAAAAAAAAAAAAAAAAAAAAAGAAAAGAAAAGAAAAAAGAAAGAAAGAAAAGAAAUAUGGAUUUUACUUUACAGGUAAUAAUGAGUCAGGCUCCAAGGACAUUUUUUUUUUCUAAGAAAAAAGUGACAGGGUUAGAGCUGUCUUUUUUCAGAAAGGUAGCUGCACAGAAGCCAGACUGGAGACAAAGAGACAAGAUGGGAAGUAACUGUAACUUAGACAAGUGAUCACGAGAGCCUAGAACAGGGGUUUUUCAAACUGUGGUUCACAACCCGUUAGUGAAUCCUGAAAUGAUUUUAGUGGGUCACAACCAAAAAAUGUUGUUUCAUCCAUCUCCCAUUUUAUGUAUUCAUAAUUACAGGUUAUGCAUAAACUUUCUGGGCAGUUUAAAUUUUUAAUAAACUCUCCUCUA